rnacentral:rRNA from 1 species
CCUACGGGGGGCAGCAGUGAGGAAUAUUGGUCAAUGGCCGAGAGGCUGAACCAGCCAAGUCGCGUGAGGGAAGACGGCCCUACGGGUUGUAAACCUCUUUUGUCGGGGAGCAAAGCGAACCACGUGUGGUUCAUUGAGAGUACCCGAAGAAAAAGCAUCGGCUAACUCCGUGCCAGCAGCCGCGGUAAUACGGAGGAUGCGAGCGUUAUCCGGAUUUAUUGGGUUUAAAGGGUGCGCAGGCGGAGGUGCAAGUCAGCGGUCAAAUUGCGGGGCUCAACCCCGUACUGCCGUUGAAACUGCAUCCCUUGAGUGCGCGAGAAGUAGGCGGAAUGCGUGGUGUAGCGGUGAAAUGCAUAGAUAUCACGCAGAACUCCGAUUGCGAAGGCAGCAUACCGGCGCCCGACUGACGCUGAGGCACGAAAGCGUGGGGAUCGAACAGGAUUAGAUACCCGUGUAGUC